rnacentral:tRNA from 1 species
CAAGAAAUAGUUUAUAUAAAAUAUUAACUUUGGGAGUUAAUGAAAGAGAAGUAUCUUUUUUCUUGA